GGACCCAUAAGACAUCUUUAUUCUUCAACAUGGGAAAAUAAACAAGGGAAGCUAACUGUAUGGCCCACUAACUACCGACCUAUUGUUGGAGCUUAUAUAAUUAAGAAGUGGAGAAAAGGAAUUCGCCAUGUAUGGGGAGAAUGUAGAGUGCCAGGAAAAUACUUUCAAUGUAUCAGACGAGACAGCUACUACAACUUCAGUUCACCAACCUUUUCCUUAGAAAACUUGUGUCAAACCUGAGAGACAAUGCUAAGAAUCGUGGGGAAGAUCCUAACAAGAGCACAAGGGCCUAAAGAGUAGUUAAACGUUGAGAUUCUCCAACUAUGGCAGAUCAAAGUAAGAAAAUGUCUAAUGUCCCACACCAAGUGGCUCAUCAGUUUAUUCAAGCUUUGCAAGCAAUCAGUCAAAAUAAGGCAAACUAGUAGCAAAUACCCAAGCAUGUGCUGAUACUAAUACCAACCGACCGUUGAGUUAGGCAUGAUGUUAUGCCGCCUUGACAAGGACUGAGGGGUCUGUGCCAUGAGUACUCCUUGUUCAAGAAAGGGGACAUGGCCA
rnacentral:lncRNA from 1 species